AUGGUACCUAACUACCUACUUUCUCAUCUAAAUUAGUACAUAUUAAUUCUGAAUAAUUUUAUUUAUCAAAUGAUAUUAUCAUAAUAUUUUGCUUUUUGUUAAGUAUACUAACCAAAAUUUCUGCAAACACUUAAAUGCAGUUUCCAAUCUAAAAAAACAACAAUGGCAUUCCUAGAAUGGCGUCGCUUUACAUUUUUCGACGUUCAUAGAAAAAUAGAUGACGGAAAGAUUGCAGAAUGUCUACAAGAUACUCAUAUAACGGUAGCAACAAGCGGAAAUAAUCAUGUGAUUCUCUGUGACUUGACGGGCUGGGUGCAUGUGAUCUCUCGCUCUUGGGAAAUAACAUCUUUCAAAGCCUAUGAAUUGAUUGUCACACAUGCUCAGCAACUGCCACAUGAUCCACUCCUUGUCACAAUUGGUGAAGAUGAAGCGGGAGUCACACCCAUUAUCAAAGUAUGGGAUUGGUCCAGGGUUGACCGACAUGGCAACCCGCAGUGUGUGAAACAGUCGAGAGCAGUACCUUCUCAUAUGUUCCCAAUACCUGCUACUGCUUUAGCUGUACAUGAUAAUAAGAAUAUGAUAGCGGUUGGCUUCCAAGAUGGUUCAGUGACAAUAUUCCGAGGUGAUAUAAUGCGACAAAGAAGUGGGAAGAUGAAAACAUUGUCAGAUACAGGGAAUAAUCCAAUAACGGGACUGGCUUUCAAAGAUGCUGAGCAGUUGUUUGUUGUGUCAAGAAAUAGUGUGAUGGUGUGCAACAUUAGCGGUGACCGAAGUACCGUCUUGGACAACAAGGGGGCUCCGGUGGGCUGCAGUGUCCUUGCUGACAGACAACGACUUGCUGUCGCUACAACUGAUGCUAUUUAUUGCUACACAGCUGAAGGCAGAGGUCCCUGUUAUGUCCUCGAAGGCGAGAAAAUACGUCUCAACUGGUUCCGUAGCUACCUGGUCUUCACCACCAACGAAACCCUGAACAGAUCAACAACUUCCACCUCACCCAAAUCCCACCACGUCACCAUACUAGACAUUCAGAAUAAAUUCAUCGUCUUUUCGAAGAGUUUUGAAGAGAUAGUGGCUGUCAUCACCGAAUGGGGCUCCUUCUAUAUACUGACCAAGAGUAAGGAGAUGAUCUAUUUGGAUGAAAUGGAUCUGCAGUCGAAGCUAUCAUUGCUGUUCAAGAAGAACCAGUAUGAUGUCGCUAUCAGGAUCGCUGGCAGUCAGCAUUAUGAUGCUGUGGGUUUGACUGAGAUCUACAAGCAGUAUGGUGAUCACUUAUAUGCUAAGGGAGACCUAAAAGGUGCUAUUGAUCAGUACGUAAAAACGAUCGGCUGGCUUGAAACAUCGUACGUGAUACGGAAAUACCUCGAGUGCAGGCAUCUGGAGCCCCUGGUACAAUAUCUGGAGGAGCUCCACAAGAAGCGGUUCGCCACAGAAGACCACACCACGCUUCUCCUGACCUGCUACGUGAAGAUAGACCAACACGACCAGCAGGGGAAACUGAAGCAAUUCAUCAAUUCCAAGGAUAAGGCUAUCGAUUUUGAUGUUGAUGUUGCAAUCAAGGUGGUACGUCAAGUGAGUGUGGACGACGCUUUAUCUCUUGCAGCGAACCACAAGCGUCACGAUUGGUAUCUGAAGAUGAUUAUAGAAGACAAGAAGGAUUUCAGCAAAGCGCUGGACUAUAUCGCUGAGCUGGACUUUGACUCAGCUGACUUGUAUAUGAAGAAGUACGGGUAUAAGAUGAUACAGCACCAACCUGAAGAGAGCACCAAGCUGUUAAUAUUACUAUGCACAGACUACAAACCUCGGAGUGGCCUACUAGUGGACGAAUCAUCGUUAUCCGGUAGACACAGGGAGCCAGACAGGUCGAUACCCGACGACUUUGUACACAUGUUCCUGAGUAACUCUGAGAGACUGAUAGAGUUCUUGGAGCACAUGAUAUCGACCGAUGUUAAAUGCUCAACUCUUGUAUACGAUGCUUUAAUUGAGCAUUAUAUUCAUGUGUGGGCUAAAGCAGAAGAGAGCGAGAAGCAGAAAUACGAAGAGAAGAUACUGAGCGUCCUCAAAGACCCUGAUGCCAACUAUGAUAAGGAUCAGAUGCUUAUUAUAUGUCAGAUGUUGGGAUUCAAAGCGGGCAUCCUGCACUUAUAUGAGGAGAAGAAACUAUGGCGUGCUCAGGUCGCUUUGUACAUGCGUGAAGGCGAAGCGGAGAAGGCUUUAGCGGUGUGCCGACGGCGCGGUGAUGUGUGUCCUCGGCUGUGGCUCGACGUGCUGUGGACUCCACCGCCGGCCACCUGUCUUCCAGACCUGCUGCGUGUUGUGGCUUCGGAGAAGCUUAUGUCACCGAUUCUAGUAAUAGACUGCCUAGCUAGUACUCCUACAUAUACACUGGGUGAUGUACGAAGAUAUCUAACGGACGUUCUGAAAUCCGAGGACGAGGUCAUAACUCGGGAACAUGAGCUGGCCAACAAAUACAAGAGCGAGAUAGAGCGAAUGAAGUCACAAAUCGACGUGAUCCUGCAUGAGCCGCUCACCUUCCAGAGCUCCAAGUGCGCCCUCUGCAACAGACAGCUGGAGAUGCCCACCGUUCACUUUCUUUGCCAACAUUCUUUCCAUCAGGACUGUUUCAAGAACUACAGCGAGUCGGAGCGCGAGUGUCCGUCGUGUUGCGGCGCCGAGCGGCUCGACGUACACGCACUGACGCACACACACGCACGCUCGGCUGAGGCGCUGCACUCGCGACUACAACAACAACAUGACCCUUUUGCGGUGGUGUCGGAGUACUUCGGGCGCGGUCUGUUCAACAAGGUGACGGUGGUGACGGACGCGCCCGCACCGCGUGACGCGAGUGAUAGAGAUGCCCUGAGCGAGCGGGACACUCCCAGCGAGCCCGCGCAGGAUAAGGGGAAGACGUACGGGCCCGGGGCAGAAGCUAAACUGAGGCUGCAAGAAGGACAGAGCAAGCAAGUGUUCGGCCCAAACAAGAGCUCAGUAGUUCCGGUACCCGAAGGUCGCAUGAGACUCAUGGAGCGGCAGCAGUACAGCUCCAGCCUCGAAGCCAACAUCAAGAGCAUCGAACCCGCGACCCACAUUCCCCCUUGCAGGCAGCCCUCGCCGAGGUUAUCACCUAACAUCUCCUCUGCCAUCACCAACUCGAACCCCUUCGAGGAUACAUACGACGAGAGUAAGAACCCCUUUGCAGACGAACAGAACGACCCCACAAACCCCUUCUCGGAUGAUGACGAUUAUGAUAAGAACAUGAAUCCGUUCACGUAAGCUUUUGUUUAUAAAUAAGUAUGUUCCUACGAUAAACGGACGUUCCAAGUAUAUAUUUUUUAUUUUUACUUUGAAUAUUUCGAGUUUAUUCGAGAUGCGAAUAACGUUAGACAACCCUGUGAAGGAGAGUAUCAGUUUGUAAUAAAUACUUCUCGGCGCAUUAUCUCUGGACUUCGCUGGAAUGUGAAGCCCCCUCCAGUUCCCCUUUCACCCCGAUCAUCCUGUUGCGUCAGUACGGUUUGCAGUUUCAUUACCUACCGUUAGGUACAUGUUGUGACAUUUUCGUGCUAUCACUGUUUUCUUUCGAAGUUUUCAUUGUUACGUUUUGAUCCCAGUGAUGCUCUUUUUUCACACCGUAACAAAGCGACGAUGUGACGUAAGAUCCAGAGAUAAUGUAACUGGGUAAUACAAUUGUGAAAAAAGCCUCCUUGGUAAACUAGCCUGCGGGAUAUGCUAUGAAGUAGAAAUUUCACUUUAUUUUGUGGUUCCAUGACUUGUCGAAGUAAAUCAGACAAAUGUCUCGACUGUAACGUUUACAUUUAGCAAAAUAUUUAAAUUAAAAAAAAGUGUGUGUGUGUACUUCUUUGGCCUAACGAAGCAAAAAUCAUUAAAAUGAUUUAUUCCUUGUGCUAUUCUACGUUUUUAGAAAGAACAAUUUUGUAAAAAUCUUGCUAAGAUUGCUUUGACAAUUAAUUAUUAAUUAAUGAAUAAGGCUGUAUGGGCUUGAAACCUUUGCCUGUCCUACGAAGAAACCAAAAAAACUUCAGAAAAUUUUAGGAACAAACUUGAAUCAACUUUUGUGUUACAGUGAUGCGCGCGCAUCUUAAAAUUUCACUCUCAUAUUUUUUUCAUAACGCGGCUAGUGAAGUACAGGGUGGACCAAAAGUCCGUUUAUAAUUGAAAUUAUGAUUUAAAAAAAACUAAUUACAGUAGAUAAAAAUUGUUUAUUGUUUUCGAUAGUAAACAAAAGGGCAAUUUAUUUCUUAAAAAUCACAUCAUCCAUAUGCAAUCCUUCAUUAUUCUGGCAUUGCUGCAAUCUAGAGUGGAAAUUUUCGAUAACAGCUUUACAUGUUUCUGUUGAGAUGUUUUGGAUUUCUGUGCGAAUACGAUCCUUUAAUUCGUCAAGAGUUACUGGGUUGGUUGGCUGGAAUGCAGGGGUUUUUGAUCACCAUGACAUAGUGUCACUCCAAUAACGAAAGUUUUGUCUAUUAACAUGCCCAUUUAGGUGGAAGUGUGCCUCGUUGAGAAAAAAAUGUUUGUAAAACUGGUGAAUCGCUCUACCAUUUCGUUCGCAAACUGCAACCUAGUGGCAUGGUCCUGAGGCCUUAAUUCCUGCACCAUUUGGAUUUUAUAGGAAUGUAGACUUAAAUCUUUCUUGAGAAUGCGGUUUAAUACAUCAUUAUCUUGGCACGUUAAGGACAGCAGACUAGGUCCAGGUUGGUCACGAACAUAUGAUUUUUCUCGCUCCACGUUUUCGGGGUCCCUCGACGUUCUAGGCCGGCCAGAUCGAGGUAAAUCCAUUGUUGAACCCGUCUUCUCAAACUUGAGCACCCAUUUUUUAAUUAACACACCUGAUGGAGCUUGAUUUUUGUGUCGUAUCUUGUAAUGAUUGCAAAACGUUCGUUGAGCUAAGGUCGCAGAAUCGUUGUUUCGAUAGUACUCGCGUACACAAAACGCACGUUGACUACCGCCGAACGAUGCCAUGGUACUAAAUUCCCAUUGGCCGCUCUUGCAAUGCGUAACCCCUCCACUCCCCUCCGCCGCCGCUGCUAGACGCGGCAACCGAUUCAAAUGUUAACGGACUUUUGGACCACCCUGUAUAACUUCAAAAAGUUUGUGUGUUCUUUGUACGCACGUAAGUUUUAAUUUUAUGACAGCAAAACUUUGCAUCCCUUACACGACCUGACCCACCUUUACCUGAACGACCGGGUACUUAACUACGAUUUAGUUUUAUUCCUCCUCCUCGCGUCGUUUUCCUGAUUACUGAGGGUCGUGACUCUCCCGCUGCAUCAGUUUCUCCCGUUCGAUUUCCCUCCAUCUGCUGCGAUUCUUAGCUUCAUGAAGGGCAUUGCGGAAUUUUCAUAGAAGAUUGUAUUUGGUCCGACCACCUCGUGGGACGUAUGCCAUCUACCUUGCCUGUCACCAUCAGCUGUUCAAGAUUGUGACCUCUUUACGAGCAAUAUGUCCGAAGAAUUCCAGCAACCUACGUAGACAUAUUAUGGAAAGUCUAGAUUUGUUUUAGUUGUUGUUAGUUUUAGUACCUGCAAAAUAAGAUUCUCGAACCCCAUAAUAAAUUUUCUUCAAUUUAAAAAAAACUGAUUUUGUACUCAAAACAAGGAGGCUGGCUCUUUGUUUUGAUGUGCCAAAGUACUGUGUACUAUUAAAUUACUAUUCUAUUUCUAUGUGAAAAAACGCUCAUAAUCCAAGAUUGAGCUCCACUUUUUUUAUGGAAUAGGAGGACAAUGGGUGUACGGAUCUGCUCUUGCAAUACCAAAGAAAUCACGUGAUGGUUUGGCCUAGUGUGGUUUAAGGAAAUACUAUUGGUUGGAAUUUUCUUAGCGUAUAGUCUUAAAAUAAUUUGUAAAAAAGUUGGAAAAUAUUCUUAGUUUAAAGUUUUCUCUAACACAAACAGUUGCUACCGUUGUCUCGUUUUAUCGCGUUGUAGAGUUUCAAGUUAUCACAUUCUGGCCGUGCCACCUUUCGUUGGUACACUUGUGGUCACUUAACCUCCUCCAAUAUUAAUAACAGUUACAAGCCAUGUUUUUAACCGUUAUUUGAGCUGCUAGCGUUUUGAUAAAUUUGAUUUUGUGUGUGUGAGGAAUAGGUAAAUGGUUCUAUUUCCUAUUAGUCAAUCUUGCGAGAUAAAUAUUAUGAAAUAUAAUAUUAUUUACUUUUUAAUUUCAAGUUGGUUUUAAAAAACCAGAUGUUUAACUAGCUCAUGUACUCUUAAACGUAAUUUAUUUACAAACGUAAAUUAUUUAUAAUGAAAGAUCGAACAAAAAUAAAAUGAGUUUUUAGGUGAAUAGAUUAUAUAACAGAAUGUCCAUAUAUAAUCAUUUAUAAUUAAACCUUAUAUAAUAAUAGAUGUAAAUGUUUAAUGUGUGUGUAUAUGUAUAUGUAAUAUAAAAAUAUUAGUAAAGUAAGUUGUAAUCAUUGUGAUAUUGUUAAUAAAAUCAUAUAUAAUUAAA